AGAAUGGUCCUCCAGAAACUGACGCUUGGCUUUCCUGGAAUACAGAAUACGGAAAUGAAGGAACGUACGCUGUGCUUUUACUCAUCAGAAGAGCCGUUUAGAGACACAUUUAAAGGCUGAAGCAGGGAUCCGCACAUUACCUUCAGCGCAAAAGCAACCGAGAGAUAGAUGAUAAAAUCCAUCUCGACUUGUCCACCAGCAGGAGGUCCCUUGACUUUGAGUGUACGCCACAUUAAAUGAGACCUAAGAGGACGACGAGAGGCAUUAGUCAUUGGAGUGUAGUAUUUGGAAGCGCAUGCCAGCUUUUGCAGUUGCCUUCUCCAUGA